UCGCGGCUGACUUUUUGGUUCCGCUCAACGAAACUCAAGAUUUCCUCAGGCGGCGCGCGGUGUUGUGGAAAAUAAUGCUUCUGUUGGUUUGUUGAUGGUGAAAUUUCUGAGUUUUAAUUCUUAACAUCACCGGAAGAAGCAUAGGUACCUUCUCGUUUUCAGUCACCACCUUUUAUGUUUAACUACUGGCCGUGCGAGCUCGCCAAAGUCUGUUGUUUGUAAAAUCAUCGCUGUUUUUACUGAAGUUGAGUAAAGACAUUCUUGAAAUUGUAAAGACAUUUAGUUUAAUUGCUAAACUACAAGUGAACGAAAUUUUAAUAAAUUUGAACGACUACCACAUGUGGUUUUACCUCUACCAAAAUCUGUUUGAAUGGUAAAGAAUGGGACGCAGCCGUAUAUAGCCAUGUAGUAGAUGUCUGUAUAUAUAGACUGAAUAAAGAGUGUUAUUUGGUGUAAUUAGUGGUUUGUUUUUUUUAUAUAUCUGACUUUUCAGAAGUAGAAUAUGUAGAGGAUAUGGCAAACAGCUUAUCCUGAAAGAUUCAGGUCAAUAUCUUAAAAUUUUAAAAAGUAAUAGCUAAAAACGUCAUAAUUUUCAUGAUUCGGUCACACAUUUUCUUGAAUUUUAAUGGAAAACAUGGGACCAAAUAAAGUGAUGAUUUUCGCGUUUCAAAUGGCCAGUAUUUUGUUAUUCUUUAACCCAUAUACAUGAUCUUGGUCUCAUUUAAAAGCUUUUUUCAAGCUCUUUCUAUCUGAACAACUCGUUUUAGCAUUUAACCAUUUUGAAAAUUUUAGCAACAUACCUAUUUUAAAAGCAUCUUUAAACUUUAAAAACAUGUUGUUUGUCGUGACUCUUCAUUGUAAUACUGUCUCGGUUAAGGAAAUUUGUGUAAUGUUACCACGAGACAACGCGACAUUGACACAGCAAUAUUACCUCAGACUUCCUCUUUAAAGCAUCGUUAAACUUUAAAAACAUGUUGUUUGUCGUGACUUUUCAUUGUAAUACUGUCUCGGUUACAGUAAUUUGUGUAAUGUUGGACAUACGACGAGACACAGCAAUAUUGCCUCAGACUCAUUUUAUCAGCAGAUUAAUGUGCACUGAGUACACCACAGUUCUGUAACGUUAAGUGGAAAAUUAAUUCAUAUAUUAUGUGUUUUCUCUCUCAGUAAGGACUAACGUUAACUGUCUGUCUGUCUGUCUGUCUGUCUGUUCUCAACCAAACAAUCAUUCAAGACAUUUUAAAGGUUAUGUUACCACGUUUAUUCAUUUAUUUGUUUUGUUGCGAGUACACCACAGUUUUGUAAGUGGAAAAUUAAUUCAUAUUUGUGUGUUUUCUCACUGUUUAGCACAAACAUUUCCCGGGCAAGUUUGAAUUUCUCUCAGUGAGUACUGACGGACAGCUCUUCACUCAUAAAACAUUUUAAAGCACAAGCAUUUCCCGCGCAAGUUUGAAUUUCUCUCAGUAAGGACUGACGGAUUAGCCUGGCUCCGCCCUCCUACGUGCGUCCGCUUAAUUUUCAUUUCGCUUCAGUACUAGGUCUGGGACUGCUGUGUAGAGUUUCGUUUUCUCUUUCUUUAAAGGUUAGCAUGAAUGCGUCCAGCAUAAUUUUGGAUCUUUACCAUUGAGGAGACUGGCUGACUGUUCUCGACCAACCAUCAUUCACACACAAAAACUUUAGAGGUAAGUACGAACGUGUCUUUACCAUUGAGGAGGCUGACUGACUUUCAUCUACCAACCGUCAUUAACACAACAAAAACUAAAGAAAUGUUACUACAAGUGGACCUAUUUAUUUACUCAUCAUGCUGUAAGUACACCACAGUUUUGUCAGUGAAAAAAUUAUAUUUGAGUUUUCUCACUGCUUGGCGUAGACAAAUGUGACCCUGUGUAAUUUGGAAAUUUCAUAGGAAAAGUGUAUGUCUUAAUGUU